rnacentral:rRNA from 1 species
GUAGGGAAUUUUCCGCAAUGGGCGAAAGCCUGACGGAGCAACGCCGCGUGAGUGAGGACGGUCUUCGGAUUGUAAAGCUCUGUUCUCAGGGAAGAAGGUCUGACGGUACCUGAGAAGAAAGCCCCGGCUAACUACGUGCCAGCAGCCGCGGUAAUACGUAGGGGGCAAGCGUUGUCCGGAAUUAUUGGGCGUAAAGCGCGCGCAGGCGGUUCAUUAAGUUGGAUGUCAAAGGCAUGGGCUCAACCGAUGUACGCAUCCAAAACUGGUGAACUUGAGUGCAGGAGAGGGGAGUGGAAUUCCCGGUGUAGCGGUGGAAUGCGUAGAGAUCGGGAGGAACACCAGUGGCGAAGGCGACUCUCUGGCCUGUAACUGACGCUGAGGCGCGAAAGCGUGGGUAGCGAACAGGAUUAGAAACCCUUGUAGUCC